rnacentral:lncRNA from 1 species
CGAGAAGAAAAUGUCGCCCAGGCCAAUCGCGGCGAAAAUUUUCUGAUUUCCUUUUCUGAUUAAAACUCUUAUGGAAACAAAUCUUGGGAGUCUUUUAAAGCGCUAGGGACGUCCAAAAACAGACACCACGUAUUAUACAUUAUUUUGGGAGGAUUUGAAGAGCAAAAAGAAGGCAAGAACGAGAGGAUUCAUUCCAAGAUUCAAGAUUUCAAAUCAAAGGGCGAUUGGGUGAUGUCUUUUCUUGAUUCUUGUUGUUAUGUUUUUCUUCCCAUCAUGUUAGGCUAGAAAAAUCUAUACUAGGAGAUCAGUGAAUCUUGUAAUGUGAUAUUUAAUUCAUUGUUCCGUAUUUUGACACUAAAACACGUAUUAAUUGUUUUGAAUGAUUUAUAUGCAUUUAAUUGCUUCCAUGAUUAUGAGCUCGUAAUUAUGUGAGUUUUGGUGGUUUGUUUCAUCUAUUCGAAAAAAGACGAAUAAAUUCGACAAGGUAUAAGUCAUCGUAAGAAUCGAUAGGGGGAUAGAAAUAUACCCCUAUGCUUUGCGUGAAUCUUUAAGUACUCACAAAACUACAAGUAUUCUCAUAUAUUUGCAUCCGUCAUAGAGAUAUAGGCUGGUGGUGUAUGAGAAUAGGUUCAAUUCAUCUCGAAAGAGAGUGUUGGAUAGAUUUAGGAGUAUUGAUUCUUCAAAAUGUCAUCGUGUUGUCAAAGUGUGUAAGUAAGCAUUGCUUGGGGAUUCAUGAUCCUAGUGCACUUUUAUAUUCAUCGAUUGAGUACACCAACUUGCAAUCAACACAUUCACUUCGCAUUUUAGUUCAUUCAAAUCAUACAUAUUUGCAUAUUUAGUCCAAGUAAGGUUAAUUUAAGUUAUUACAAUUCCCGUUUGACAAAUCAGUUUCGGUUAAGGCCAAGUUAGAUAAAAUUAAACUAAUCAAUCUCUGUGGGACGAUAUUCGGACUCAAUUGAUCUACUUUAUUACUUGUUAAUGAACCAUACACUUGUAGUGAUUUAAAUUGAAAGAAAAUAUUUUGUGAACAGAAAGAAUAGUCCCAGACCUGGACUACCCUCUAAAUACCGAAGAAGAUGGUGAGCUGCCUUGAGAUGAGAUAGUGGAGGCUAUGCCAAAAAUUGGCUCAGUUUGUAGACAACAAAAAUAAUAUCUGGUCGUGAUAUUGUCAGGUAAAUCUAUUUUCCAACCAACCUGCGAUAAGAAAAUGCAUCGGGCAGAAGGUCUCCGUCAUGAAUACUUGAGGAAACCUUUGGAUCCAUAGGAGUAUUUGUUAAUUUGCAGUCCAGGUAAUCUGAAUCCUCAAGCAACUCUAGGGCAUAAUUUCUUUGUGAUAUGACAAUCUCAGAGUUAGAACGAGCCACUUCUAUGCCCAAGAAGUACUUCAACUUCCUUAAAUCCUUGAGUUUGAACUGAGAAUUUGAGAACUUCUUUAAAGAAUCAAUGACUUGAAUGUUUGGUCCAGUGAUGACAAUGUCAUCUAUAUACACAAGAAAUGCCACAAAGUCAUUCCCAGAACCUUUAGUGAAUAGGGAAUAAUCAGCCUUUGAUUGAUUGAAACCACAGUGGACCAGUGCCUGGGUUAAUUUAGAAUUCCACAGCCUUGACACUUGCUUGAGGCCAUAAAUUAACUUUCGCAAUUUGCAAACCAGUUUCUCCCCUUGUUUGACAGCAUUGAGAACCUCAUAACUAGGCGGGAGAUCCAUGUAAACUUUAUUGAACGUAUCACCGUUCAAGAAGGCGUUAUUUACAUCCAUUUGGAACAAGUGCCACCAUUGAGAGGCUACAAGAGCUAACAAUACUUUGACAGUGACAAUCUUUGCUACUGGGAAAAAAGUAUCAAAGUACUCAAGGCCCUCUUGUUGUGUAUAAACUUUAGCUAUAAGACUUGCUUUGUGCCUUUUAAUAGACCCAUUAGAAUUAUGUUUUACCUUGAAGAUCCACCUGCAUCCAACAACAUGUUUACCAACUGGUAAAGGAACUACUGACCAAGUGUGAUUGGCUUCCAUAGCCUCCAAUUCAGCUUUCAUGGCUUCACGCCAUUGUGCAUAUUUAACCGCCUGGUGAAAGAGUUGAGGCUCAAAUUGAGAGUACACGUUCAAUACAAAUUGCCGGUGGUUUUGGGAUAAAUGAUUAUAGGAAAUAAAUUGGCUAAUAUGAUCGAGUGAAUGAAGAUGGGAGUUAUCUUGUUGAGAAAGGAGUUGCAAUGAAAAUCUCUAAGGUAUUGUGGUGGUCUAGCAGCUCUUUGUGAACGUCUCAAAUUAGUGAUAGUAGUAGGUUGACAUGUGUGACUAAUGUUAGUAUGUGGAAUACCAUUUUUAUCAGGACUGUCAGGUGCAGACAUUGUAUCAAGGGAUGGUGAAGUAGAGAAUAACUCUUGAUGCAAAUUAUGACUUUUAGCUGAAGGAAUAGGAGGUAAGUUAUACUGAGUUGAGGAUGCAUGUGAGUCUUGAUGAAGGUGUAAAAAAGGAUUUGGUAAGACUAAGUCAGGGAACGGAUGUAUCAGUUGAUCAUUUGCCAUAACUGUAUGAAAAGGAAAGAUUUUUUCGUGAAACACAACAUCAUGUGAUACAAAGAAAUGUUUUGACUCAACAUCAUAGAGUUUGUAACCUUUAACUCCAGAUGGAUAUCCCAAGAACACACAUAGCCUAGCUCGUGGCUGGAAUUUAUUUCUUUGUGUAGUUAGAUUGGAUGCAAAAGCUAGACAUCUAAAAACUUUAAGUGAGGAAUAAUCUACAGGUCUUCCAUAUAGAACUUCAUAUGGCAUUUUGUGCUUCAACACAGAAGACGGAGUUCUAUUUAUCAAGAAUGUGGCUGUCAAAACACAUUUAGACCAGAAACUGAUGGGGAUUCGUGAUUAGAAGUACAGAGACCUAGCCACAUUUAACAAAUGUUGAUGUUUGCGCUCAACGACGGAGUUUUGUUGUGGUCUAUCCACACAACAAAACUGAUGCAUUACUCCAUUUUCAGCAAAAUAAACUAUAAAGGCUAAUUCAUAAGCAUUGUCAAAUCUGAAUGUCUUUAUUUUUGCAUUGAAUUGGGUAUCAAUCAUGUUGAAAAAUCUGGAAAUAACAAUCUUGGCAUCUGAUUUGUGCUUCAACAAAUAGACCCAUGUAAACCUUGAACAAUCAUCCACCAAUAUCAAGAAAUAAUUGUAUCCUGAGUGUGAAGUAACAUGGUAAGGUCCCCACACAUCACAAUGUAUGAGAUCAAAGGGAUUAUUUGACAGUCUAUUAUUCGAUUCAAAAGGCAAUCUCCACUGUUUAGCAAGUGGACAAACAUAACAAGGCAUAUGUCUCUUAAAUUUUGUAACAUCACACAAUAAUUGUUCCUUCAACCAGUCUAGCCUUUUUGAAUGAAAGAUGCCUAAGUCUGUUGUGCCAUACAUGGAUAGACACAGUAUUAACAAAUACGUUAGAAAUGGAAUUCAGAAUUCUGGUAUCUAGAACAUACAAAUUUUGCAUUUGACCACCCCUACCAAUCAUCUUCUUGGUUUUGGCAUCUUGAAUAAUGAAGCUAUCAUGAGAGAAACUUGAUGAAACUUGUGAUUCAGCAGUUAAUGGACUAACUGACAGUAAGUUCAGCUGGAAUUUUGGUACAAAUAACACAUCAUGCAGCAAAAUAUUUGGACUCAGCCUGAUAUUCCCACACAAUUUAACUAGAAUUUGUGUGUGAUUGGGUAAAGUCACA